UUGCCUACGGGAGGCAGCAGUGAGGAAUAUUGGUCAAUGGGCGGGAGCCUGAACCAGCCAAGCCGCGUGAAGGAAGAAGGCGCCAGGCGUCGUAAACUUCUUUUGUCGGGGAACAAAGGGCGCCACGUGUGGCGUUGUGAGUGUACCCGAAGAAAAAGCAUCGGCUAACUCCGUGCCAGCAGCCGCGGUAAUACGGAGGAUGCGAGCGUUAUCCGGAUUUAUUGGGUUUAAAGGGUGCGUAGGCGGUCGGAUAAGUUAGAGGUGAAAUCCCGAGGCUCAACUUCGGAAUUGCCUCUGAUACUGUU
rnacentral:rRNA from 1 species